rnacentral:rRNA from 1 species
UAAUACGAAGGGUGCAAGCGUUACUCGGAAUUACUGGGCGUAAAGCGUGCGUAGGUGGUUGUUUAAGUCUGUCGUGAAAGCCCUGGGCUCAACCUGGGAAUUGCGAUGGAAACUGGGCGACUAGAGUGUGGCAGAGGAUAGUGGAAUUCCUGGUGUAGCAGUGAAAUGCGUAGAGAUCAGGAGGAACAUCCGUGGCGAAGGCGACUGUCUGGGCCAACACUGACACUGAGGCACGAAAGCGUGGGGAGCAAACAGGAUUAGAUACCCUGGUAGUCCACGCCCUAAACGAUGCGAACUGGAUGUUGGGUGCAAUUUGGCACGCAGUAUCGAAGCUAACGCGUUAAGUUCGCCGCCUGGGGAGUACGGUCGCAAGACUG